UUCCGGUUGAUCCUGCCGGAGGCCAUUGCUAUUGGGAUCCGAUUUAGCCAUGCUAGUCGCACGAGUUCAGACUCGUGGCGAAUAGCUCAGUAACACGUGGCCAAACUACCCUUCGGAACACAAUACCCUCGGGAAACUGAGGCUAAUAGUGUAUAUCGUACCACCACUGGAAUGAGUGGUACGCCAAACGCUCCGGCGCCGAAGGAUGUGGCUGCGGCCGAUUAGGUAGACGGUGGGGUAACGGCCCACCGUGCCAAUAAUCGGUAUGGGUCAUGAGAGUGAGAACCCAGAGACGGAAUCUGAGACAAGAUUCCGGGCCCUACGGGGCGCAGCAGGCGCGAAACCUUUACACUGCACGACAGUGCGAUAGGGGGAUCCCAAGUGCACAGGCAUAGCGCCUGUGCUUUUCGGCACCCUAAGGCGGUKCCAGAAUAAGGGCUGGGCAAGACCGGUGCCAGCCGCCGCGGUAAUACCGGCAGCCCAAGUGAUGGCCGAUCUUAUUGGGCCUAAAGCGUCCGUAGCUGGCCGCGCAAGUCCAUCGGGAAAUCCACCUGCUCAACAGGUGGGCGCCCGGUAGAAACUGCGUGGCUUGGGACCGGAAGGCGCGACGGGUACGUCCGGGGUAGGAGUGAAAUCCCGUAAUCCUGGACGGUCCGCCGAUGGCGAAAGCACGUCGCGAGAACGGAUCCGACAGUGAGGGACGAAAGCCAGGGUCUCGAACCGGAUUAGAUACCCGGGUAGUCCUGGCCGUAAACAAUGUCUGCUAGGUGUGGCUCCCACUACGAGUGGGUGCUGUGCCGUAGGGAAGCCGCUAAGCAGACCGCCUGGGAAGUACGUCCGCAAGGAUGAAACUUAAAGGAAUUGGCGGGGGAGCACUACAACCGGAGGAGCCUGCGGUUUAAUUGGACUCAACGCCGGACAUCUCACCAGCAUCGACUGUGGUAAUGACGAUCAGGUUGAUGACCUUAUCCGAGCCUCARAGAAGGAGGUGCAUGGCCGCCGUCAGCUUCGUACCGUGGAGGCGUCCUGUUAAGUCAGGCAACGAGCGAGACCCGCACCCUUACUUGCCAGCAGUACCGCGAGGUAGCUGGGGACAGUAGGGGGACCGCCGUGGCUAACACGGAGGAAGGAACGGGCAACGGUAGGUCAGUAUGCCCCGAAUGUGCUGGGCAACACGCGGGCUACAAUGGUCGAGACAAAGGGUUCCUACUCCGAAAGGAGACGGUAAUCUCAGAAACUCGAUCGUAGUUCGGAUUGUGGGCUGCAACUCGCCCACAUGAAGCUGGAUUCGGUAGUAAUCGCGUGUCACAAGCGCGCGGUGAAUACGUCCCUGCUCCUUGCACACACCGCCCGUCAAAGCACCCGAGUGAGGUCCGGAUGAGGCGUUCCACGAACGUCGAAUCUGGGCUUCGCAAGGGGGCUUAAGUCGUAACAAGGUAGCCGUAGGGGAAUCUGCGGCUGGAUCACCUCCU
rnacentral:rRNA from 1 species